GGAUGUAGUAACUCAGUGGUAGAGCACAUGUUUACCGUGUAUAAAGUCCUAGGUUCAAUCCCUAGCACACACA
rnacentral:tRNA from 1 species